rnacentral:rRNA from 1 species
CCUACGGGAGGCAGCAGUGAGGAAUAUUGGUCAAUGGGCGCGAGCCUGAACCAGCCAAGUAGCGUGAAGGAUGACUGUCCUACGGGUUGUAAACUUCUUUUAUCAAGGAAUAAAGUGAGGCACUAGUGCCCUUUUGUAUGUACUUGAUGAAUAAGGAUCGGCUAACUCCGUGCCAGCAGCCGCGGUAAUACGGAGGAUGCGAGCGUUAUCCGGAUUUCUUGGGUUUAAAGGGGGGGUAGAUGGGCUGUUAAGUGAGUUGUGAAAGUUUGCGGCUCAAACGUAAAAUUGCAAUUGAUACUGGCAGUCUUGAGUACAGUUGAGGUAGGCGGAAUUCGCGGUGUAGCGGUGAAAUGCUUAGAUAUCACGAAGAACUCCGAUUGCGAAGGCAGCUUACUAAACUGCCACUGACAUUGAUGCUCGAAAGUGUGGGUAUCAAACAGGAUUAGAUACCCGUGUAGUC